UACGUAGGGGGCGAGCGUUAUCCGGAAUUACUGGGUGUAAGGGGAGCGUAGACGGCGAGGUAAGCCUGAAGUGGAAGCCCGCGGCCCAACCGCGGAACUGCUUUGGGAACUGUUUUGCUGGAGUAUGGGAGGGGUAAGCGGAAUUCCUGGUGUAGCGGUGAAAUGCGUAGAUAUCAGGAGGAACACCGGUGGCGAAGGCGACUUACUGGACCAUAACUGACGUUGAGGCUCGAAAGCGUGGGGAGCGAACAGG
rnacentral:rRNA from 1 species